rnacentral:lncRNA from 1 species
CUUCCAAGGAGGGACUUUGAUUUCCUGAGGAUUUAGAGCCUUGCAUUAAAUCCAUGGAUAUCUGUACUUCUGUAGGAAGUUAGGGUUCCUCUGGGUACCUCAAAAAGUCUUGCUCUCCUGCUUCCUGCCAGUGCUGGGGUCAGACAGAUUGCACUUGCACUCUGCUACUUAAUUUUCAAGGAAUUUCACCACUAAUUUUCAGCAUCCAGCAGUAUCUACCUGACACAGAGCAUCCUUCCCAUGGGUAGCCAUGCCCCUCCACCUGUUUGGAUAGUUUUGUGGAGGGAGACAAGCAUAAUUCUACUAUUUCCCUGUGUCAGCUUCUAUGCAGGUCACCUCCUCAUAGGCAUUUCCAAUUGCUUCUGAAUUUUUACCACUCACAGUUUUGAAUUGUGCUGCCUCUUUGUCUGUCCAUUGACAUCUGGACCAUGAUUUCAUCUCACUCUGGGGCCAGGUGGUCCAAGCCUAGUUUUUUUGUUUUUGUUUUUGUUUUUUUCUAUUUUCAAUCUAAGAUAGCCUCCUGCUUAUUGUCCAAGUGUGUGUGUGCCUUGAAUGCUGAAGCCUUACCAUUCAAACAUGGUUUAAUGUAACUCUGGUACUUCUUCAGUGGAUCUCACAGGCCAUGGAUGGAGGCAUGCUCCAGGAGAGAGUGCUGGGAAAGUACAGGCCAGAGAUGACCUUGCCACUGGUUAUAAAUGAGUUCAAGUCUCUGCUUCCAAGCUGAGGGAGACAUGUUUUAGGAGAUAUGCAGAAGGAAGGAGAUUCCUCAAGGCAUCGUGGAUUCUACCCAAAUGCAAAGAAAGGUCUCCGGGAAUUCCCUGAGAUCUGUGCUCUACCGGGAGAAAUUUCCAAAAGACAUUAUCUCAGUACAUUCCAUUUUAAUAAAGAACAUUUAAGGAGACAGCAUAUGGGGAGCAUGUGCAGCCUACAGAGUUUCUAUAGUUUGAUGUUUUUAGGUAUCAAAGGAAGGUCUCCAGGAACCCUGCGACUAAAGACUUUAAUGAGGACCAUGCUCACGAAAUCCUGGCUGCCAAAGACAUGAUGGUGAUUUAUGUCUCUCACUCAUUCCUGAACAGCACGAGGACUAUUUGUAAAAAUAAAAAAGCUGCUCAUAUGGAAUUAAACA